rnacentral:rRNA from 1 species
GAUGAACGCUGGCGGCGUGCCUAAUACAUGCAAGUAGAACGCUGAAGGAAGGAGCUUGCUCUUUCCGGAUGAGUUGCGAACGGGUGAGUAACGCGUAGGUAACCUGCCUGGUAGCGGGGGAUAACUAUUGGAAACGAUAGCUAAUACCGCAUAACAGUAGAUGUUGCAUGAUAUCUACUUAAAAGGUGCAAAUGCACCACUACCAGAUGGACCUGCGUUGUAUUAGCUAGUUGGUGAGGUAACGGCUCACCAAGGCGACGAUACAUAGCCGACCUGAGAGGGUGAUCGGCCACACUGGGACUGAGACACGGCCCAGACUCCUACGGGAGGCAGCAGUAGGGAAUCUUCGGCAAUGGACGGAAGUCUGACCGAGCAACGCCGCGUGAGUGAAGAAGGGUUUCGGAUCGUAAAGCUCUGUUGUAAGAGAAGAACGAGUGUGAGAGUGGAAAGUUCACACUGUGACGGUAUCUUACCAGAAAGGGACGGCUAACUACGUG